rnacentral:rRNA from 1 species
UACGGAGGGUGCGAGCGUUGUCCGGAAUCAUUGGGCGUAAAGGGCGCGUAGGUGGCCACUUCAAGCGUGCGGUGAAAGUCGGGGGCUCAACCCCUGAUCGGCCGUGCGAACUGGGGGGCUGGAGCACUGUAGAGGCGGGUGGAAUUCCGGGUGUAGCGGUGGAAUGCGUAGAGAUCCGGAAGAACACCAGUGGCGAAGGCGGCCCGCUGGGCAGUGGCUGACGCUGAGGCGCGACAGCGUGGGGAGCAAACAGG